rnacentral:rRNA from 1 species
CGUACACUCCUACGGGAGGCAGCAGUGGGGAAUAUUGGACAAUGGGCGCAAGCCUGAUCCAGCCAUGCCGCGUGAGUGAUGAAGGCCCUAGGGUUGUAAAGCUCUUUCACCGGUGAAGAUAAUGACGGUAACCGGAGAAGAAGCCCCGGCUAACUUCGUGCCAGCAGCCGCGGUAAUACGAAGGGGGCUAGCGUUGUUCGGAUUUACUGGGCGUAAAGCGCACGUAGGCGGACUAUUAAGUCAGGGGUGAAAUCCCGGGGCUCAACCCCGGAACUGCCUUUGAUACUGGUAGUCUUGAGUUCGAGAGAGGUGAGUGGAAUUCCGAGUGUAGAGGUGAAAUUCGUAGAUAUUCGGAGGAACACCAGUGGCGAAGGCGGCUCACUGGCUCGAUACUGACGCUGAGGUGCGAAAGCGUGUGGAGCAAACAGGAUUAGAAACCCCUGUAGUCCCAUG